rnacentral:lncRNA from 1 species
CAAAUCUCAAUCUCAAUCUACUAUACGUACGCGGUUUUUGGAGCUCUAAUUUUAAAAAUCGAUUUUUCUCUCUCCGAAAUGAAAUAACCAAUACUCUGUACUUUUUUUUUUCUCUCUCUCCAAAACACGAUUGCAGAUCAAAUCGAUUCCCCCUAGCUAGCUCAGAUUCCAGAUCAAGUAAAGUCGCAAAAUCCGAAUCCCCUAUUUCAGAUUCAAAACCGAUUCUCCCUAUUCAAGCAACCUAGCAAAAUCCAAAUCCCCUCACGGAGUCCAAAAAUCGACAUCUACCUCCUUGAUCUCGGCUUCAAUUCGGUAAACUCUUCGCUAUUUUCCUAUAUUAACUGUAUUUUUUGAAGAUUAUGUCGAGUAUCAGACCUCCUUUUCGACUUUGAUUUCAUGUCCCAGAAAAUUUCUUGACAAGGACCUAUGUGCAACACACCUGGUAGUUUCUUGCCCAUUUAUGUGAAAGUUCUCUUUGAUUAUCAAAUUGCAAGGAAGAAAGGUUUCACUAUCUGAUGGCAAAAAGAAUGAGUAUCUAUACGACUUCUUUUUUAUUUUUAAUUUAAUUUGCUGGCUGGCUUUUAAUAAGGAUAACUUUCAUUGUUCUUGUAAUUCUUACAUUCACCUCUGUUACAUACUUCCUUGUCAAAAAGUCAAAAAGCUUGAGUUAACAUAAUCAUUAUGCGUAGGUAAUGAAAUAUGGUAUAUAAAUUCAAAGAGGGGAAUAGUUGACAACAUAGGAAGAACUAGUCCACUGAGUUUUUAAAUGCCUAAAGUGUAAAAAAAUAAUUUGGGCCUAUUUCUUUGGGUAAAUUUUUUGUGAUCCUUUAAAUUUAAACUAACGUGGGCUGAUCUCUUUUGUUUGAGUAUAUAUAUAUAUACAUAACACAAAUACCUUUUGGGGCCCCUAAAAUUUGUUAAUUUUAGUGGGCCUAAAGCCCAGGCACCUUGGGAUUUAGGCUAGGGUCGGUGCUGGAACUAGUAAAUUUUACAAUGAGGAAGAAGGCAUACACAAAUUUAAAUUAUUUGAAAUAUGAAGACCAAACUAUUUUUACUAUCAAAUCUCAAUACAACCUACUCCUUGAGCCUAAAUCUUCAGCAAUCCCUCACUAUAUUUAACAAAGCAAUUUAUAAUAUUUAUUUUUAUAAAAAACAAAUUCAAUAGCUUAUGUGACACCCCCAAAAUAGGUCCACACGACCCAUUCCGAGUCACCAAAUACAUGGUAUAAAAUUCAAAUACAACUUCCUAUUUACAAAUAUUAAAUUGUCAUGCAAAUACGAUAAAACAUAAGCUGUGAGUUUUAAUACAGAUAUUGUCUCGUAGACAAUAUCCAAACUCAAAUAAAGUCCUAAUUAUAAUUAUUGUCGCACUAUUUUAUAAAAUAGUGAGGACUACUAUAAUAACCGUUUUGUACCAUUACUCCACUCUCCGACUAGUCCCAGCUAUAUUCUCGCCUCCUAAGAAGAACAAUGGAACCAAAAGGAAAAGGGUGAGCUCAAUUAGCCUAGUAAAGAAUAUUAUGACUAAGAUAAUGAAUAAAAAAUUAUCCUUAGUCCUCAACAGUAAAAAAUCUGAUAGAAUACAACAGACAACAAGUUUUAGAUCAACAACUGUAGCGAAACAAACAAUCUAUUAUAAGAGUCAAGUAGAGCAUGAUGUAUACUAUCUUCUAUGAUUUAAAAAUCCAUCAUCAAUAUUUUAUCCCUGUAACACCAAUCAAUAAUUAUUUUCAAUCAACGAAUUAUCUAUGCACUACGGGCCAAAAAUAAUCAUUUGCAUUACCAAUGGUCAUGAUCACGUCAUAUAUCUGUCAAUCUAUGCACUACGGGCCAAAAAGGACUUCCACCACAAACCUUAUCUGUAACAUUAAAUGUCAUGAUUAUACCAAUACACAAUUUCUGGUCAUAAUCAUACCAAUCAAUAGUCCAUCUUUGCACUAUGGGCCAAAGAUGACUUUCAGCAUAAUUGAUGAGUGAGUUUUAUACCCAUUAAUUGAAUGUGUUUGAGCUUAAUCUUUUGAAGGUUUUUAAGUAUUUGUGUCUAUUUAUGCAUGUUUUUAUGUUGUUUUGUAGGAAUUGGGACAAAAGUUACUUGGAUUGACGUUUAAGGUUGCUAGAUUCACAUUUUUGGCUUGUCAUGUACAUAGCUGCUACUUCAAGGCCAAUUUCAGCAUUGCUCAACGCUUAUUUCAAAAACCUCAAAGAAUAAAAGUUCUAGAUCUACGUCUCCUCUUUCCAGAAUACCUUGAAUCAAAAAAAUUAGAGUUCAGACGAAGAAGUUAUGUUUGUUUUCCCAAGGGACGUUAGAGUAGAAAAUUUCAGAAAAGCUUCCAGCGCCAGGGCGCCCAUUCCUAGGCACUUCCCAGCGCCAGGGCGGCCAGAGGCAGAUUUCCUGUGCCGCGAGCAGCGCCGGGGCACUGGGGUAGGGCCAGAUCAAGUUAGGAUGCGUUUUUGAGUAAAUUUUGAUAUUUUUUUACUCCAAAUUGGAUUGGAUUUCCUCUUAAGCUAGAAAUUUGACUUGUAACCUAUAAAUACAUGAUGUGAGGCAUAAAAUAGGGGGAUUAAAUAGAUUAGAUUAGAAAAAACAUUCCAUUAGAUUAGAACAUAAACCCUAGUUUACAUUGGAUUUGUGAUGCCCCCAAAAUAGGUAUACAUCACCCAUUCUGAGUCGUCAAAUACAUGAUACAUAAAUCAAAUACAACUUAAUUAUACAACUAUCGUGUAACAUACGACAAAACAUAAGCUGAGAGUUUUAAAACGAAUAUUGUUUUCUAGACAAUAUCCACA